rnacentral:misc_RNA from 1 species
CGUUCACCGAACAUUGUGUCGUCGGCAUCCGCGCCGACGAAAAGCGCAUCGACGAGUUGAUGCGGCGCUCGCUGAUGCUGGUGACGGCGCUGGCGCCGAAGAUCGGCUACGACAAUGCUGCAAAGGUCGCGAAAACUGCUCACGCGCGCGGCACGACGCUAAAGGAAGAAGCAGUGCGUCUCGGCUUCGUUUCGGAGGCAGAAUUCGAUCGGCUCGUAAAGCCCGACAAGAUGACGCACCCCGGUUAGAGCACGUUUCACUUACAUUAACUCGCUGUAACGU